rnacentral:rRNA from 1 species
GACGAACGCUGGCGGCGUGCCUAAUACAUGCAAGUCGAGCGAAUGACGAGAAGCUUGCUUCUCUGAUUUAGCGGCGGACGGGUGAGUAACACGUGGGCAACCUGCCCUACAGAUCGGGAUAACUCAGGGAAACCUGGGCUAAUACCGGAUAAUCCUUCGAAUCACAUGUUUUGAAGUUGAAAGGCGCUUCGGCGUCACUGUAGGAUGGGCCCGCGGUGCAUUAGGUAGUUGGUGGGGUAACGGCCUACCAAGGCAACGAUGCAUAGCCGACCUGAGAGGGUGAUCGGCCACAUUGGGACUGAGACACGGCCCAAACUCCUACGGGAGGCAGCAGUAGGGGAUCUUCCACAAUGGACGAAAGUCUGUUGGAGCAACGCCGCGUGAGUGAUGAAGGUUUUCGGAUCGUAAAACUCUGUUGUAAGGGAAGAACAAGUACGUUAGGAAAUGAACGUACCUUGACGGUACCUUAUUAGAAAGCCACGGCUAACUACGUGCCAGCAGCCGCAGUAA